AACCAACCAACGCCUCCAAGGCCCACAGUUUUCACGUUUCUACCUCAUUAUUGCAUUGCUCCACAUCGUCAAGGCGAAAUAUGCGUGCGUAAUAAUAACAUGUGAUUUGUGCAGAAUAACCCUGAUCGCACUGUAAAUGCCUUAGAUGAGCCAUCUGUAAGAACCAUAAAGGAGAGGAAGGUAAGGAAAAAGAGAAAAAGAAGCAAGAAAGCGAGCGCGAGAGACGCCAGAACUGCAGCGUGCCCUGUAAUUUUCAACUCAGGGUCUAAGCUAACAGCAUUAGGGUACCAAAAGCCGCAGCCAG
rnacentral:lncRNA from 1 species